AACAGAAUAGAAUUCUGGGCGGAAGAGGAAGUGAGGUCAGACUCUGCUCUGCUCCCGGAGAGACUCUGCUCUCUGGAGCACAGACACCAUGCUCCACUCUCCCAGGAUGGACGGAGGCUAGAAUCUUCCCGGAAACAACAGAAUCUUCCGUCGUGGAAAGGUCUCAUUUGUUUCCUGAAUUUCACUGUAUUCCCAAUCCCACCGCCCUCGUGCAUACUGAG